rnacentral:tRNA from 1 species
GGUCCGAUGGCCGAGCGGCUAGGCUCAGCUCUGCAAAAGCUGCUACAGCGGUUCGAAUCCGCUUCGGACCUCCA